rnacentral:rRNA from 1 species
AACGUAGGAGACAAACGUUAUCCGGAGUUACUGGGCGUAAAGGGCGUGUAGGCGGUUCGUUAAGUCUGGCGUGAAAGCUCUCGGCUAAACCGGGAGAGGUCGUUGGAUACUGGCGGACUAGAGGACGGUAGAGGCGUGUGGAAUUCCGGGUGUAGUGGUGAAAUGCGUAGAGAUCCGGAGGAACACCAGUGGCGAAGGCGACACGCUGGGCCGUACCUGACGCUGAGGAGCGAAAGCGUGGGGAGCGAACAGG